rnacentral:misc_RNA from 1 species
GAUGAAGAACGCAGCGAAAUGCGAUAAGUAAUGUGAAUUGCAGAUUUCAGUGAAUCAUCGAAUCUUUGAACGCACAUUGCGCCCGCUAGUAUUCUGGCGGGCAUGCCUGUUCGAGCGUCAUUUCAACCAUCAAGCCCUAGGCUUGCGUUGGAGCCCUGCGGCUGCCGCAGGCUCCCAAAUCCAGUGGCGGGCUCGUCGUCGUACCGAGUGCAGUAAACAUCCUCGCUCAGGGAACGUGACGGGUUCUUGCCGUGAAACCCCCCACAUAUCAAGGUUGAACUCGGAUCAGGUAGGAAUACCCGCUGAACUUAAGCAUAUCAAUAAGCGGAGGA